UACGUAGGUGGCAAGCGUUGUCCGGAUUUAUUGGGUUUAAAGGGUGCGUAGGCGGUUCUAUAAGUCAGUGGUGAAAUCCGGCAGCUCAACUGUCGAUGUGCCAUUGAUACUGCAGAACUUGAGUACAGACGAGGUAGGCGGAAUUGACGGUGUAGCGGUGAAAUGCUUAGAUAUCGUCAAGAACACCGAUAGCGAAGGCAGCUUACUAGACUGUAACUGACGCUGAUGCACGAAAGUGUGGGGAGCAAACAGG
rnacentral:rRNA from 1 species